rnacentral:rRNA from 1 species
GACGAACGCUGGCGGCGUGCUUAACACAUGCAAGUCGAGCGGUAAGGCCCUUUUGGGGGUACACGAGCGGCGAACGGGUGAGUAACACGUGGGUGACCUGCCCUCAGCUCUGGGAUAAGCCUGGGAAACUGGGUCUAAUACUGGAUAUGACCUUUCCUCGCAUGGGGUUGGGUGGAAAGUUUUUCGGCUGGGGAUGGGCCCGCGGCCUAUCAGCUUGUUGGUGGGGUGAUGGCCUACCAAGGCGACGACGGGUAGCCGGCCUGAGAGGGGGCGACCGGCCACACUGGGACUGAGACACGGCCCAGACUCCUACGGGAGGCAGCAGUGGGGAAUAUUGCGCAAUGGGCGGAAGCCUGACGCAGCGACGCCGCGC